ensembl:lncRNA
GAAAACAUACUGUAUAAUACAUGUUAAUAACCUGUUGGUUUGGUGUCUCUUGCUGAUGAGGUGGAGUAGCAGGCACAUUGGAUCCUGGUUGCUUCUCUAACAUGUCCUGGCAAAAUAUAAAUGGAAGCAUAACUAUUUUCAUUUUCAUUUAUUUUAUAGUUUUGACAUAUAAAACAAUACUAGUGCUCCAAAAGAUAAGUGGUAACUACUACAAGUCAUCUGGUAGUUUUUACAUUCAGAGAAUACACACUAGCUUCAUAUAAAACUGAUGUGAUUUCAGGGGAAAGGAUGAAUGUAGUGCCUAUAUUCAGUAAAUUUACAAAAUGUGUAGCUCCUUGCCCAAACCUAGAAAACAAAUGAACUCUAUUAACAAAUCAGAAACAAGAAUACUGAAAAGCACUAAUCCUUGGGUGGAUGUAAGACAGGGCAUCUGUUUCUAUCAAGACAAUGAGUUCACACAUUAAGCCAAAACUGCAUAAUAAUGCUUAAUAAAAAACAAAAUUGUUGUAUUGGCGGAAUAAAACAUCAGAUUUAAGUCACAUUAAGCAAGUUAAGCUACAUUUGCAUUAUAUGUGCAGUGAAGAUCGAACAGAUGGAUAAUGUCCAUGAAAAUGGUGACUACAGCUUCACAUACUGAAGAACUGUAUUAAUUAAGGGAAGGUAUAUGUCACAGCCAUCAAGUGCCAAUGUAGGCCAUAAAUCAGCCACCUGUUAGAAACUUUGUUAGCCUCAUGUGGAACUACUAAUUUGCUUGAAUUACAAUGUAAAUUAACAUUAACAUGAAUGAAUAAUGCAAUCAUACAUUGAAAUAGUUAUAUGUAGUUAUAAUUCUGUGACCAAAUGAGACCUUGCUGGUGUUCACUUUCAAUACAUGUUUAUUAUCGGUAGCCUAUAAUACUAUUAUUUUAAAGGUGUAGAGAAAUGGCCGUUAGUCCUGUUUGUCACGCUGAGUUGUCACGAGCUGCAACACGAGUUUACCCGAGUAAGGAAUACGAAUUUGAUUGGUCGUUAUCUUGUGUGCGUGUCUCAGACGUUUUAAUGAUGGAUGACGGAUCCAAUAUCAGUGGCUUUUGAAUCGUGUACAGGCUGACGUAUAAUCCGUGCGCCUGCAUUAUACAAUGAGAAAUAAAAUACCACACUUUCAUCCCGGAUUUACUCAAAAAUAUAAUUUUGCAAAGUUUGGCCUACAUCGUCUGAAAGAUGAGUUAUUUAUAUAAUUUCAUGACCCAGAGUGGGCUCAAAUUCAAUUUUCUUUUCUGUACACCUUUAAGACGUCGGUUUAAAAAUAAAAACUACACUAUUCACAUUUUCUGUAUUGAUUAAAGGGGUUGUUUUUAGCAUAAAAAUGAAACUAGUAACUUGUAUCUAUAGUACCUGUGCUUCUGGUCCGAUUUGCAUAUCUUGUUGAUCCCCACAAAAUUGAAAAGUGCGGUGUGAGUAGGUGGAGGGUGGCAAUUCUAGCACUGGGUGGGUCUUUCUGGAGACUCCCUCUCCGGCAGGCUGCAUAUAAUGAAGAUAUAAUACAUGGAAAUUCUCAAGUGAAGUAUUAAUGACAAUAAUACAUGUUUGUGUCUCAUUUUAAGGAAAUACACUGUAGGGUCUACUACAAUCAUUAUUUUCAUCACGUUUAAUUUAAUUUAAAUGACAAUUAUACAGAAACUAUACAUAUAGUAUAACAUAGCAAUUAAUAUCAACAAUUUCAAUUGCUGGUAUUUUAAUACCUCUGAUGAAUCUCUGUUGGGUCUGUCCUGAAGCAGGUGCUCUCUUAUUGGACUGACAAGAUGCUUUCCUCUCAAACAUUCUAAAGAUGACUGAUCGCUUGGUCCUUCUGCAACAAGGCCCUCAUCGGGAACAUUCUGAUCAUGAGACAGCACACAGAUUUAUUUAAAGGUUGACAAUGUAGGAUUACCAGAACAACCACAGAAUGCCAGACCUUUGCUAGGCAAAACGGGUCGUUGCUAGGGACUCCGUUCUGAUCAGAGGACAGCAGAGGAGGAGAACUAUGCAGGAUAUUUCAUUUUUACCUUCAUUAACAGCAUAAUAAAUUACUUUUAGCUUGUUAGAGGAGGAGUGGAGGCUCUUUGCCAACAAUCUCAACCUUUAACUAUCAUACUUUAAAUAUUUACGGUAUGAUAAACAUUACAAAUACAAUUAUGGAUGAAUAAAUGCUUUAGAGGAAAGUAAUAUGUAUUUUGUGAACCCCUUAAUUUUUAUUUCAGAAUGGAAGCAUAAAACAUAGUAAUGAUCAUACAUAGACAUUUUACCUGUUUGUUAGUUGUGGGAUUUUCUCCUGGAUAUUCCUCCAGAGAAUAUGUUCUUUCACCGUUAUUUGAAAGUGGAAUCUGGGGAGUGCAGUUGCAAUGUCAACUUGCAUGUAACACUAUCUGCAAUUCAUAUUGUUGCGAACGAAAAAAAUGGUCUACCUCUUUCACAACCUCUUUAUUGUUAGUUGUACAGGAUGCCCUGAGGUAAUUCUUGUAAUUCCCUCUGCAGUUUAAAGUAUUCUGCAAUGAACAAGAAGGUCCUUGCGUUUAAAAUUAAGACUUAUUCUAUAAUCACUGCUGUUGUUGAUAAUAAAAUAAAUGUGAAAGGUCAAAUACCUCUUUCUUGUUUGCUAGCCGUCUGUAUUUGGUUGCCUUUGAAGGUUGGCUCGACUCAUCCAGCAGAUAUUCUUUGUAAUGUCUUUUGGGUGCCAUGUCUGCGGGCGGUUUUACAGUUUUUCUCUAAGCCCGGUAAAAUACAUCCAUGGUGAUUUACUUUACCUUAUUACUGAUACGUGCGCAUGCGUGCGCACGUAUUCGUGGCGCUGUGCUGCCGCUGAUUGGUUACCCCCGAAUGCAAUCUGCUUGCAGAUGUAGAUGCUGAUUGCUGAGGGAACCGUUGUCGCAGUUGAGUUACUUACAAUGGCGCAGUUCAAGUUCGGGAUGUUUUAUUUGAAGGACAACACAAUUCACGUCAAAAGUACUGAGAUUGUGGCACCUCAGUACAGACAGAAGCUCGUUCAGAUAUUAAAACGGCCGGACCUCUACAGUGAAGACGGAUGGAUACAAGUGUGAUGGGGAACCAGGAAAGCAUCUACAAACAAUGUGGCCGCAAAACUGCUCUUAAUCGGGGGUUUGUAUUGCUCUGAUACUUUGUAUCACUGUUUACAAACAAACAGUGAUACUUUGUAUCACUUUGUUUGUUUUUAAUCGCUACCUGGCCGAGGAUAAGCUCCCUGGACUAACUGUUUUCCAGCAUGGAUAUCUGCGCAUUCAUAUGGACUAUUCUUCAAAUGUGACUCUUUUUUUUUUAAAGGUCCUAUGUUCCCCGUUUUUCCCAAAAAGGGUCCUAUGUUCCCCUGUAGCCAUACAUACCGGGGAGCAUAGGACCCUUUUUGGGAAAAGCGGGGAGCAUAGGACCUAUUUUCGACACCCAGAGCUCUUUAUAUAAUAGUAUAUAAUCUAAUAUAAUUGUAUAAUAAUAUCACGGCCAAAAGCUCUGUGCGCCUCCGGAUGGCCGCGGGAAGCUCUCGUAGGGAUUGGGCUUCUCGGGGUUUGAUUACCGGCGUAUGAAUAGACUGCGUCAGGUUCUCCGACGUCUCUCCCUCUUCCACAAAAGGUAAAGACAUUAAAUGGUAGUUAUCUCGGCCGGAAUUUGGCAGUAAUGGUGAGAAAAAGUAACAGACCGGGAAGAUAGAACCCUUUUUUUGAAAAAGGUUCCUAUGCUCCCCAGUCUCAUACAAAGAGGGGGACCCGGGGAACAUAGACAUGCUCCCAGCUAAUGCUAGUGUAAAUGGUGCUAAUUUAGUGCAAUUUCAGAUGAGAUUUUGUGUGAACAUUUGUGAGCGUGCUGUGUGGAGAAUGUUUAGCACAAAUUGCCCACUGUUAAGAAAAUGACAAGAUUUUUUUUUUACAAAUGUCUUAUGUUGGCACUUGCCAGCCACCACUGUUGGUGAUGAUUUGAUAAAGAAUUUGCCAGUGGUUCAUGCUAAUGAUUGUUAAUGUUUACCUUGUGUAAUUUAAUUUUUGUGUAACUAUGUUUAUAAAAAGACUUAAAGUGACUUGUUGUUGACGUACAAAAUAUCUAAAAUAUUGAGCAAAAGAGGGUAAAAACAUGGUUUUGACAGUUUUGUCUUAUGUAUGGUUGUGGUUACAGACAACUACAAGGAGUUGAUGGGGAAAAAAGAAGCCUUCCUCAAGGAUGAGGACAUCUGGCACAUGGCAGUUGCAAGAAGGACCACACCUUGUACCACAACACAUGAUGGAAGCAAACCAAAGAAAAAAAGAAUUACGGCAACUUCCAGUCUCACUUCAGAUGAUGAUGAAACACAGAUUGACCCAUCACGAGUUCUUCAAACAAAUAAGCCGAAGAUGACAAAGGCUGCAAGAGACCGAGCCCUUGCCCAACUGAAAUCCUCGCUGCUGAGAAGAAAGCAAACAACCUCCACCCCCUUGACAAAUGAAGACGAUACAGACAUAGACACCAAUGUGGACUUAUUUGACCCACCUCAGGCUUCGGGAUCAAGUGACCUCUCCCAAGGGGAAAGUGAAGAGGAGAGUGUCCUGAUGGAUCAGCCCAGAUCCAGUGUUGGCAUGCAACAGGAAGUGAUGGAUGCUCUGAAAGAAAUACCAGCCUUAGUCAAGUGUGUCAAAGAUCUUAUUGCAACCAUGAAGAGAAUGCCACCUGUCAUGGACACUGACAGUACAUGUUCUGGCUCUUCCAGUCCAGCUCCAGAAAUGAUUUCCCUUGGCAACAAGGGGGUGCAGGUCAGCAAAACCUGUUUCAAAAGACUCAACCGAACAAGAAUGUCCCUGUUCACACAGGACUUAGCUGUGCUCCUCUUUGGGCGGGAUGUUUUGGCAUCCUCGACUCUCACAGGAAAACCAGGGCUUACUGGAACAGUGAAAGAGCAGUUAAAUCCGGAAAAGCUGAGUGCCCUUGUUGAUACAGUUAUUGCUGAAUUUCCAGGAACAAAUGUGUCUGAUGUGAGGGCAGUGAUUCAGAGAAAAUGUAACAAUGAGAAUUUUGUGAGCAAAAAGAAACAGUAAGCAGUAAAUCAGUAACUGUUUGUAAUAAUUUCUUGUUUGUUUUUUCUUUGGUGGACAUACAUUUUGAGUUUAAACAAACUGUGUAAAAGUUUAAACAAUCUGUCCACCUAUGUAAAAGUUUCAACAGUCUGUUUAAUGUUUAAUGUUUUUUAAUGUUUUCAAAAGUCAGUUUCAGUUUAAUGUUCAUCCCUGUCAUUACUAGCAAUGGUACGAUGAAGAGAAACAGUUUGAAAAUGUUGUUAAAGAUGUAUUUUGUACCCUGUCAUGCCGUGCAUGUUAAAAAUAAACGUUAUUUCUACC